CGCAAAUAUAUAUGUGCAGCUGAAGACUACACACUGUUCGGUUGUUCAAACUCACCGAUGCAAGACUCCGAUCAACGGGACUCGUUGUGGAUGACAAUACGGGCAGCAGCCGAGCAACAGUCAGGGGUUGUUUCUGUCACUCUCUACAGACUUGAACCAGACGACUUGUCCCAAAGGAUGGUAUGCUACGGAUGGGCUUGGGUGUGGUCGGAAAUGGCGUUUUCUUCACAGAUGUCUGAUGUUCCUUGUUUCUCAUGAUUAGGGGCGGGACUUUUCAUCUAUGUACGAGUCACCACAUUCGCACUGAAUAUGAUCCGGAGCGUGUCUGGGUCCCCACCAGAAGAAUAUUAUCCGUUUAGUUGGGAAGCCGAACCAAAAGGUGCGACC